ACAGAUGUGUUGAUUGGCAAUUGCCCCCCGUCUGCACACUGAACCCACCUGCCCCAGGUAAAUGUUGCAAGACGCCAAACUGUCCCCAAGGAUACGUCAUCAACUAUCCCCCUGGCUACGUGGAGCAGUAACAGUUAGAUUAAUAUAAGUGUGAAGAAAUCACAUCAAUAAAAGUAUUUCUUGU
rnacentral:misc_RNA from 1 species